UCGGGAAUUUUGGGCAAUGGGCGAAAGCCUGACCCAGCAACGCCGCGUGAAGGAUGAAGUAUUUCGGUAUGUAAACUUCGAGAGAAUAGGAAGAAUAAAUGACGGUACUAUUUAUAAGGUCCGGCUAACUACGUGCCAGCAGCCGCGGUAAUACGUAGGGACCAAGCGUUGUUCGGAUUUACUGGGCGUAAAGGGCGCGUAGGCGGCAAUUCAAGUCAUCUGUGAAAUCUCCGGGCUUAACUCGGAACGGUCAGAUGAUACUGCUUUGCUAGAGUGCAGAAGGGGCAAUCGGAAUUCUUGGUGUAGCGGUGAAAUGCGUAGAUAUCAAGAGGAACACCUGAGGUGAAGACGGGUUGCUGGGCUGACACUGACGCUGAGGCGCGAAAGCCAGGGGAGCAAACGGGAUUAGAUACCCCAGUAGUCCCUGAGCGGGCUGGCAAGGCGCAU
rnacentral:rRNA from 1 species